AUGCAUAUCACACUUUCUUCAUUGGAACCACAUCAAGUUCGCACCUUGGAAACAAAUCUGGAAAAGCUGGGCUCCCCUGCACUGCAAAUUUUCAUUUCGUUAGUUGUAAACAGCCGGUGUUGGACAGCUGACCGACUUGCGAAGCGCGGCCUUCCCUAUCCAGUUGCUUGUCCCCUCUGUGAUCAGGCUGAGGAAACAAUCCAGCACACCAUCAUCUCAUGUGUGUUUGCUCAGCAGAUCUGGACACUAAUUUUCCAAAGGUUGGGCCUGAUUGCUAUUGUCCCUCAACCUACUGCUGCUCGGUUCUCUGCUUGGUGGAGCAAUGCUAUCAGUAGGGUUCCAAAGGUGCUGAGAGAAGGCCUCAACUCCCUGAUCAUUUUAAUACCUUGGGGGCUUUGGAAGCACCGAAAUGAUUGUGUUUGA
rnacentral:rRNA from 1 species